AUGUUGUCCGCGACGCAAGUUAUACAUACGAAAAAACAAGUCAAAAGAUCUAACACAGCUCUUAACAGAGGUAAACGCGGUCCUCGGCCGCAACGCUUUUUGCGAUAUUGCGAGAAGAACAACUGCUCGAAGUAAACCAUUACAACAUGGCAGAAAUCUUGUCCUCGAUCGCUUAACACGUACUAAAUCUUCCUUUCCAUUGUUUUUCAGGUUGGCGCGAAUGAUCAGUGAUUUAAAAGAUGCCAAAGACCAAGUUUUAGAAGGAGGAAUAAUGAAACCCUUUUGCACAAGGACUGAUGCGUUUCUCUUGUUCAAUUACUUGCAGUUAUCACUAUUUGUUCGCGUUGCGAAGCCUAAAAUAGAAUUGUUCCCUCAUAUAACGAAGGCAAUUGUAGUCGAGCUGGAGUUAGCAGAUGGUUAUUCUUUUCAUAAAGUUUAUGAUCAAAGUUCGUUUAGCUUGAAAUGGAUUGUAUUUGGAUUAGUUAGGGUUCUCACCUUUAAGAGAUUUCACGGUCGAGUUUUUCUCAACCUAAGACACUUUUGGAACGUAUGAUUUCUGGUGCUGUUUAUUUGACCUACGUUCGAUGACAAAGCAUUGUAAAUCAUCAUUCCGCUUGCGGAGAGGAGAAAGCAGAAGAACUGAUGUAAAAGAUCUGACAGAGAUAGAGUCAAUAAACAUUCCAGCAAAAGUAGUUUGAGUUGUGCUCUUGUCAUUAAGUUUAUAAGUUAUAAGCGGUGUUUUCACAGCAGAUAUUCGAGACUCAGUAUCCCCACCGAUAUCAAACAAAAUCGAUAGCACAGAAAUUCGAGAAGGCACGACAGGAUGUCUCAAAAUGGGUUAUUUACCAGAAUAUUGCGAGGAAUAUUGAGGGUUACAGUCCACAGCAUCAAUCAAGAGAGAUACCACUACCAUAGACAUUUUAAGGGCAUCACUAAACAGACCCGUUGGCGCCAGAACCAAAUUACCUUCGCCCAAGCGAGGAAGGAGGAAACGCUUGUUGGCGCGAAUGACUAGUGAUUUAAAAGAUGCCAAACACCAAGUUUUAGAAAGAGGAACAAUGAAGCCUUUUUGCACAAGGACUGAUGCGUUUCUCGUGUUCAAUUACUUGCAGUUGUCACUAUUUGUUCGCGUUGCGAAGCCUCAAACAAAAUUAUUCACUCGUAUAACGAAGACAAUUGUAGUCGAGCUGUAGUUUGCAGAUGAUUAUGGUUUUCAAAAAUUUUAUGAUCAAAGUUCGUUUAGCUUGACAUGGUUUGUAUUUGGGUUAGUUCUUAGUUAGAGUUCUCACUUCUAAGAGAUUUCACGAUCGAUUUUUUCUCAACCUAAGACACUUAUGGAACGUAUGAUUUAUAGUGCUGUUUAUUUGACCUACGUUCGAUGACAAAGCAUUGUAACAUUCAAGUCAAUAUUUCACUCGCGGAGAAGAGAAAGCAGAAGAACUGAUGUAAAAGAUCUGACAAAGAUAGAGUCAAUAAACAUUAUAACAAAAGUAGUUUGAGUUUUGUUCUUGUUCCUGAGUAAUUAGCAGUGUUUCCACAGCAGACAUUUGAGACUCAGUAUCCCUACCGAUGUCAAACAAAAUCGAUGGCACAGAAAUUCGAGAGGGCACGACAGGAUGUUCCAAAAUGGGUUAUUUACCAGAAUAUUGCAAAGAAUAUUAAGGGAUACAGUCCACGGCAUUUAUCAAGAGAGAUACCACUACCAUAGACAUUUUAAGAGCAUCAGUAAACAGACCCGUUGGCGCCAGAACCAAAUUACCUUCGCAUUAGCGAGGGAGGAGGAAACGCUUGUUGGCACGAAUGAUCAGUGAUUUAAAAGAUGCCAAAGACCAAGUUUUAGAAGGAGGAGUAAUGAAGCCCUUUUGCACAAGGACUGAUGCAGUUUCUCGUGUUCAAUUACUUGCAGUUGUCACUAUUUGUUCGCGUUGCGAAGCCUAAAACAAAAUUAUUCACUAGCAUGACGGAAGCAAUAGUAGUCGAGCUUGAGUUUGCAGAUGAUAUGAUUAUGGUUUUCACAAAGGUUAUCAUCAUAGCUCGUUUAGCUUGAAAUCGAUUGUAUUUGGGUUAGUUCUUGGUUAGGAUUCUCACUUCCAAGAGAUUUCACAAUCGAGUAUUUCUCAACCUUAGACACUUUUGGAAAGUAUGAUUUCUGACGCUGUUUAUUUGAACUACGUUCGAUGACAAAGCAUUCCAGCAUUUCAGUCAUCAUUCCGCUCGCGGAGAGGAGAAAGCAGAAGAACUGAUGUAAAAGUUCUGACAGAUAUAGGGUCAAUAAACUUUACAACAAAAGUAGUUUGAGUUGUGCUCUUGUUCCUGAGUUAUUAUCAGUGUUUCCGCAGCAUAUAUCAUAUAAACAGGCACUCACGAGGUAAGCUUAAUUUAAAUUUUGAAGUCCCGCUUUGUGUGGGUUUGAGUCGUUCGUUCAAUAUGGCGGCGUAACACAACAGCAUUUUCAAUAGACUCAAGUUUCCUACCUCGCGGUCUACUUUUUGUUCUCGUGGUCUUCGGCUUUUCUCGGACUCGAUUCUCAAUUCAAGGGGAUGUUAGAUAAAAUCCUUCAUCUUAAAUUCAUACCAAACUGCGCAAUCUUUGAGUUCGAUUUUAGAAUUGCGCUUUCUACUUCAAUGAUCAACAUUGUUUGUUGUUUGUACAAGAUGGCGGAUAGUGGUAUCAAAUCUAAUAGAGAAAAGCAUUUAAACACAAUAUUCGAUCUAACAGUCCACGCCAAAGCCAUCUAAAGCCACAAUUUCUGUAUAAACGAAACGACGAUCAAGAAAACCGAAUUUGCGCAAAGAACCAUUGAAAAUAAAGCAAUUAAAGUGUAAGAGCGUGGGAACACAUUUGCGUCAUGGAUAGGUAGCCAUGAGAUGCAAUUUAGCUGAAGGCCAAGUUGAUAGAUAUCGACUCCAGCGGACUUUCCCUUACAAAUGGAGAAAAGGCAGUAAUUUUUUUAUUCCAGUUUAACAGACUCAUAUGCAUAACAGCAAAAAAGGACCUAUAAUAAAUUAGUAUACGAAGUACGCAGACGCAACUUUGUCGCCACGCGGUAAGGUUACUUUCAUCGCGUCUCACUAUUAAAAGCACUGAUCUGGCUUCAGCCAUAAUAAAGUUGAGAUCUACCUUUGCUGGUCGCUGUGUGUCAACUUGUUAGUACACUACAGCCACUGAAAAUUAUGCCACCAAAACCAACGCCGAAUACCCCUCCAGAUCCGUGGCCGAGACCAAAGCCAUCAAAGCCAAAGAAGGGCUGAAAUCGACUCUGUUAAGGAUUUGAAAAGGUUGGCGCGAAUGAUCAGUGAUUUAAAAGAAGCCAAAGAACAAGUUUUAGAAGGAGGAAUAAUGAAGCCCUUUUGCACAAGGACUGAUGUAGUUUCUCGUGUUCAGUUACUUGUAGUUGUCACUAUUUGUUCGCGCUCCGAAGCCUAAAACAAAAUUGUUCCCUCGUAUAGCGAAGGCAAUUGUAGUCGAGCUGGAGUUUGCAGAUGAUUACGGUUU